rfam:Glossina pallidipes, whole genome shotgun sequence.
GGAGGAGUUUAUAGUACGUAGACACCAUGGAUGGCGAAUCGUGCAUGCUGCUAGCAAGAACCAGCAGUAUCGCUUGAAGAUUUUCUACCUCC